rnacentral:rRNA from 1 species
CAGUCGCCGCGGUAAUACGGAGGGUGCAAGCGUUAAUCGGAAUUACUGGGCGUAAAGCGCGCGUAGGUGGUUUGUUAAGUUGGAUGUGAAAUCCCCGGGCUCAACCUGGGAACUGCAUCCAAAACUGGCAAGCUAGAGUAUGGUAGAGGGUGGUGGAAUUUCCUGUGUAGCGGUGAAAUGCGUAGAUAUAGGAAGGAACACCAGUGGCGAAGGCGACCACCUGGACUGAUACUGACACUGAGGUGCGAAAGCGUGGGGAGCAAACAGGAUUAGAGACCCCCGUAGUCCCUGUCUCUUAUAU